rnacentral:rRNA from 1 species
AACGAACGCUGGCGGCAUGCCUAACACAUGCAAGUCGAACGAAACCUUCGGGUCUUUUGGCGCACGGGUGCGUAACGCGUGGGAACCUUCCCUUAUGUUCGGAAUAACUCUCCGACAGGGGUGCUAAUACCGGAUAAUGUCUUCGGACCAAAGAUUUAUCGCCUUUGGAGGUGCCGGAGUUGGAUUAGCUAGUUGGUAGGGUAAAAGCAUCCCAAGGCGACGAUGCAUAGCUGGUAUGAGAGGAUGAUCAGCCACACUGGGACUGGGACACGGCCCAGACUCCUACGGGAGGCAGCAGUGGGGAAUAGUGGAACAUGGGCGAAGGGCUGAUCGAGCAAGGCCGGGUGAGUGAUGAAGGCCUUAGGGUUGUAAAGCUCUUUUAACCGGGAUGAUAAUGACAGUACCGGGAGAAUAAGCCACGGCUAACUACGUG